rnacentral:tmRNA from 1 species
GGGGAUGUAAAGGCUUCGACGGGGACUUUGAAGCAGGAUAAGCGAGCAGAGGACGGUGCUGAUCUCUUUAACCCGCACUCGUUUUAAAAUUAGACGACAACGAUAAUUUUGAAUUAGCAGCUGCCUAAGCGCACUGCUCGUCCGUCCGAAGAGUACCGCGGCUUUGACACGGGCGCCGAUUAAGCGGUGAACGUCACAGACCCAAACCUGUAAGUCUGUGAUGUAUUACAGGUUACCAAUAAGCUCAGCGUGUCUGUCUGCGGAGCUUUGAGGGAAUGCAAAUGACAGACUGCGCUCGAAGAAAGUCUUGUGAAUAGGUUUUCGGACACGGGUUCGAUUCCCGUCAUCUCCACUA